AGAUUUGCUUUAGAGGUCUCGGAUGACUAUAUCAAGAAGGUAUUGGGUAAAAAAUGGAGAGACCAUAAAAGCACUUUGAAAAAACAAUAUUCUAAGAAAGACAUAAGCUUCGAAGAAAAAUUGCGAAAUGUCCCACCGGGAAUGCUGAGGUACCAAUGGGAAGAUGCGAUUAGAUUUUGGAAUUCAAAGAAAUGAGAGGACCGUGAGCGAGUUGGAACAAGCAGCAGGCAAAAACAAAAAUUCACGUACACUGCAGGGUCGAGAAGUUUCGCUUCUAUAGCUAAGGUCGAGAAGUUUCACAAAAAUUCACGUACACGCCAUGAUCUUUUGUGACGUUUUUUUCAAAUAAACGCCGCAAAUUUUUGCUGCGUUUUUUGUAGCGCUUGUGAAAACGCCGCAAAUAGUUCUAAGCGCUACUAAAGGAAAAAAAAACGCCGCUAAAAGUCUAUUUUCCUGUAGUGGUUUGGGGAACCAGAUGAUCGGGGGUAAUUUGAAUUGGGGGAAAGUAAAGGGAAUUUGGGGCUCCAAAAAACGAUGUUGUUUUCAAUCUAUUAAGAGAUGUUUGUGGUGUUUUUUAUGAAAACAA